rnacentral:rRNA from 1 species
AGUAACGCGUGAGGAACCUGCCUCAAAGAGGGGGACAACAGUUGGAAACGACUGCUAAUACCGCAUAAGCCCACGGCUCGGCAUCAAGCAGAGGGAAAAGGAGCAAUCCGCUUUGAGAUGGCCUCGCGUCCGAUUAGCUAGUUGGUGAGGUAAUGGCCCACCAAGGCGACGAUCGGUAGCCGGACUGAGAGGUUGAACGGCCACAUUGGGACUGAGACACGGCCCAG